rnacentral:misc_RNA from 1 species
UCCGGUUUGGCACCGGCAGUCCUCCCAGAGUCCCCGACUUGACUCGCUGGCAACUGGGAGCGGGGGUUGCGCUCGUUGCGGGACUUAACCCAACAUCUCACGACACGAGCUGACGACAACCAUGCACCACCUGUCACUCUGUCCCCCGAAGGGGAACGUCCUAUCUCUAGGAUUGUCAGAGGAUGUCAAGACCUGGUAAGGUUCUUCGCGUUGCUUCGAAUUAAACCACAUGCUCCACCGCUUGUGCGGGCCCCCGUCAAUUCCUUUGAGUUUCAGUCUUGCGACCGUACUCCCCCGGCGGAGUGCUUAAUGCGUUAGCUGCAGCACUAAGGGGCGGAAACCCCCUAACACUUAGCACUCAUCGUUUAGGGCGUGGACUAC